rnacentral:rRNA from 1 species
AUUGAACGCUGGCGGCAGGCCUAACACAUGCAAGUCGAACGAGUGGCGGACGGGUAAGUAAUGUCUGGGAAACUGCCUGAUGGAGGGGGAUAACUACUGGAAAAGGUAGCUAAUACCGCAUACCAUCGGAUGUGCCCAGAUGGGCUUAGCUAGUAGGUGGGGUAAAGGCUCACCUAGGCGACGAUCCCUAGCUGGUCUGAGAGGAUGCCUGGACACACUGGAACUGAGACACGGUCCAGACUCGUACGGGAGGCAGCAGUGGGGAAUAUUGCACAAUGGGCGCAAGCCUGAUGCAUCCAUGCCGCGUGUAUGAAGAAGGCCUUCGGGUUGUAAAGUACUUUCAGCGGGGAGGCGUUACCCGCAGAAGAAGCACCGGCUAACUCCGUGCCAGCAGCCGCGGUAAUUC